UACGUAGGGUGCAAGCGUUGUCCGGAAUUAUUGGGCGUAAAGAGCUCGUAGGCGGUCUGUCGCGUCGGCUGUGAAAACCCGGAGCUCAACUCCGGGCCUGCAGUCGAUACGGGCAAACUGGAGUGUUGCAGGGGAGACUGGAAUUCCUGGUGUAGCGGUGAAAUGCGUAGAUAUCGAGAGGAACGCCUGCGGCGAAGGCGGGUUGCUGGGCUGACACUGACGCUGACAGCGCGAAAGCUAGGGGAGAGAACGGG
rnacentral:rRNA from 1 species